AUUGAACGCUGGCGGCAGGCCUAACACAUGCAAGUCGAACGAGUGGCGGACGGGUGAGUAAUGUCUGGGAAACUGCCCGAUGGAGGGGGAUAACUACUGGAAACGGUAGCUAAUACCGCAUACCAUCGGAUGUGCCCAGAUGGGAUUAGCUAGUAGGUGGGGUAAUGGGUCACCUAGGCGACGAUCCCUAGCUGGUCUGAGAGGAUGACCGGCCACACUGGAACGGAGACACGGUCCAGACGCCGACGGAAGGCAGCAGUGGGGAAUAUUGCACAGUAGGCGCAGGCCUGAUGCAGCCAUGCCGCGUGUAUGAAGAAGGCCUUCGGGUUGUAAAGUACUUUCAGCGAGGAGGCGUUACUCGCAGAAGAAGCACCGGCUAACUCCGUGCCAGCAGCCGCGGUGAUUC
rnacentral:rRNA from 1 species